GUCACCGAUAAAAUACUAUUAAAUACUUCCCAUUUAUACCCGUUUCUGCUAAUGUAUUUUAAAUAAUUUCUAGUUCUGAAAAUUAGAAAAAGAUGAAGAAUAAAAUUGAACUGUAAAUUAAUAAUCUACGUUGGUAGAAACGAGCCUAGCAUUAGACACAUUCUUGAGGUAAUUUCGCAGUGUCAAGUGUUGCAAGAAGAAACGUUUCUACUUCAACCCCUGUGAGUCAGAUAAUUAAAUAGAGUUAAUUGAGAGUAGUGAAUAACAGCGAAGCAAGAUAUGAAUAUAUGAUAUAGAGCAGACCACUGCUACGUUACAUACACGUGUACGACAAGCACUGGACAAAGGUGAUAGAAUUUUAGAUGCUAUAAGAAGUGAAAAGGAAAAGAACAUAUUGGUUGGAUUGAAACAGCAACAGGUCCUUAAAGUUCCCAAGUUUGAUAGCAACAAUCUGGUACUCGUAGACGACAACGUAGGCACAACUCUUGGUACAAGAAUACAGGUGCCUAUUCCUCAUAUAUUCCAAACGAAAAUGAAAGAACAGACUUACAGCAAAGGAGCAGAUUAUACUAAACUAAUAGCGAUUGCAUCCAGGUUCGUUUAGUAUAUCUUGUCUAUUAUUAUAUGUAUUAAAUAUUUCAUUAUAAUAUUGUACUUAUUUAGUAUUUUCCACAAAACUUGUAAUAUGGAAGUGUAUUACUCAUGCAUCUCUGUGUAUUUUGAUGUAUAUUAAUAUUUUAGUAAAAUUAUCACAUUUAAACCUAUUUUUUGUUAUAUAUGCACUAGAGAUAUGUUCCACUUAACACACCUUUGUAAUGUACUCGUCAUCACAGCAUCUCAUCCUUGUUUAAUGUUUGAUGACAAGAAGGAUGAAAUGAUAUCGCGUAUUCUAUGUAUACAUGCUGUGACUUUAGUACGUAAGUAUAGCGCUGGCAAGUGUAACUUUAGUUCAAUUAUCAGCCACGUGAUGUCUAUCACUUUGUAUUUAAGCGAUUAUUUAAAUUAAUUGUCAAAGGUAUAUUAUGCCUAUGUUAAUUGAUUUGAUAUUUUUAUUAAGAUUUUAGCAAAUUACAUAACUUUAAUUCUUCGCCUUUAAAUAAAAUACAUUAUCAAAUUUGUCUUUAUCGAAUUUGCAAAUCAAAUUAGUAAUGCAAAUAAUCCUUCAAUUCCCGAAAGCACUUGUUUUCAAUACGAUUCCUAUAUAAGAAUAGAAUAUAGAUGAGUAUUUCGGAUCCUCAGGGGUAGAGGAUCGGUAGUCUGAUACUGGUGAAGAAAGUGUCCUUUGCUGUCCUUAAUCUGGGAAGUUGGAAUAGAGAUCAACAUGGUUUAAUCAUCAAAAUCUUUAUUCAAUAGUUUCAACAGGCUCGGCUACAAAACAAUACAAAGCUGUGUUUCAGCAUUGCAAGUGUGAUGAACAGCUUUCAAGGAUCUCAUACCGAAAAAGAAAGGUCUGAAAAAACAGACCCAAAAAACAGUUGGACAGUAUUUGUGUGGGCCCUACGAAUAUUGUCCAGUCUACAAAAAAAAAUACAAUGAAAACAAAUAGCCAAUAAACUAAUAUAAUCAAUAAGCUA